UUAAGCGACUAAGCGUACACGGUGGAUGCCCUGGCAGUCAGAGGCGAUGAAGGACGUGCUAAUCUGCGAAAAGCGACGGCGAGGUGAUAUGAACCUUUGACCCGUCGAUGUCCGAAUGGGGAAACCCAGUGUGAUUCGUCACACUAUCGUUAACUGAAUACAUAGGUUAACGAGGCGAACCGGGGGAACUGAAACAUCUAAGUACCCCGAGGAAAAGAAAUCAACCGAGAUUCCCCCAGUAGCGGCGAGCGAACGGGGAGCAGCCCGGAGUCUGAAUCAGCUUGUGUGUUAGUGGAACGGUCUGGAAAGUCCGACGGUACAGGGUGAUAGUCCCGUACACGAAAAUGCACAGGUUGUGAACUCGAAGAGUAGGGCGGGACACGUGGUAUCCUGUCUGAAUAUGGGGGGACCAUCCUCCAAGGCUAAAUACUCCUGACUGACCGAUAGUGAACCAGUACCGUGAGGGAAAGGCGAAAAGAACCCCGGCGAGGGGAGUGAAAAAGAACCUGAAACCGUGUACGUACAAGCAGUGGGAGCCUCUUUAUGGGGUGACUGCGUACCUUUUGUAUAAUGGGUCAGCGACUUAUAUUCUGUAGCAAGGUUAACCGUAUAGGGGAGCCGAAGGGAAACCGAGUCUUAACUGGGCGUUAAGUUGCAGGGUAUAGACCCGAAACCCGGUGAUCUAGCCAUGGGCAGGUUGAAGGUUGGGUAACACUAACUGGAGGACCGAACCGACUAAUGUUGAAAAAUUAGCGGAUGACCUGUGGCUGGGGGUGAAAGGCCAAUCAAACCGGGAGAUAGCUGGUUCUCCCCGAAAGCUAUUUAGGUAGCGCCUCGUGAACUCAUCUUCGGGGGUAGAGCACUGUUUCGGCUAGGGGGCCAUCCCGGCUUACCAACCCGAUGCAAACUACGAAUACCGAAGAAUGUUAUCACGGGAGACACACGGCGGGUGCUAACGUCCGUCGUGAAGAGGGAAACAACCCAGACCGCCAGCUAAGGUCCCAAAGUCAUGGUUAAGUGGGAAACGAUGUGGGAAGGCACAGACAGCCAGGAUGUUGGCUUAGAAGCAGCCAUCAUUUAAAGAAAGCGUAAUAGCUCACUGGUCGAGUCGGCCUGCGCGGAAGAUGUAACGGGGCUAAACCAUGCACCGAAGCUGCGGCAGCGACACUUAUGUGUUGUUGGGUAGGGGAGCGUUCUGUAAGCCGUUGAAGGUGUGCUGUGAGGCAUGCUGGAGGUAUCAGAAGUGCGAAUGCUGACAUAAGUAACGAUAAAGCGGGUGAAAAGCCCGCUCGCCGGAAGACCAAGGGUUCCUGUCCAACGUUAAUCGGGGCAGGGUGAGUCGACCCCUAAGGCGAGGCCGAAAGGCGUAGUCGAUGGGAAACAGGUUAAUAUUCCUGUACUUGGUGUUACUGCGAAGGGGGGACGGAGAAGGCUAUNCCCAGUGCAAUUCGUUGCACUAUCGUUAACUGAAUACAUAGGUUAACGAGGCGAACCGGGGGAACUGAAACAUCUAAGUACCCCGAGGAAAAGAAAUCAACCGAGAUUCCCCCAGUAGCGGCGAGCGAACGGGGAGCAGCCCGGAGUCUGAAUCAGCUUGUGUGUUAGUGGAACGGUCUGGAAAGUCCGACGGUACAGGGUGAUAGUCCCGUACACGAAAACACACUUGCUGUGAACUCGAAGAGUAGGGCGGGACACGUGGUAUCCUGUCUGAAUAUGGGGGGACCAUCCUCCAAGGCUAAAUACUCCUGACUGACCGAUAGCGAACCAGUACCGUGAGGGAAAGGCGAAAAGAACCCCGGCGAGGGGAGUGAAAAAGAACCUGAAACCGUGUACGUACAAGCAGUGGGAGCCUCUUUAUGGGGUGACUGCGUACCUUUUGUAUAAUGGGUCAGCGACUUAUAUUCUGUAGCAAGGUUAACCGUAUAGGGGAGCCGAAGGGAAACCGAGUCUUAACUGGGCGUUAAGUUGCAGGGUAUAGACCCGAAACCCGGUGAUCUAGCCAUGGGCAGGUUGAAGGUUGGGUAACACUAACUGGAGGACCGAACCGACUAAUGUUGAAAAAUUAGCGGAUGACCUGUGGCUGGGGGUGAAAGGCCAAUCAAACCGGGAGAUAGCUGGUUCUCCCCGAAAGCUAUUUAGGUAGCGCCUCGUGAACUCAUCUUCGGGGGUAGAGCACUGUUUCGGCUAGGGGGCCAUCCCGGCUUACCAACCCGAUGCAAACUACGAAUACCGAAGAAUGUUAUCACGGGAGACACACGGCGGGUGCUAACGUCCGUCGUGAAGAGGGAAACAACCCAGACCGCCAGCUAAGGUCCCAAAGUCAUGGUUAAGUGGGAAACGAUGUGGGAAGGCACAGACAGCCAGGAUGUUGGCUUAGAAGCAGCCAUCAUUUAAAGAAAGCGUAAUAGCUCACUGGUCGAGUCGGCCUGCGCGGAAGAUGUAACGGGGCUAAACCAUGCACCGAAGCUGCGGCAGCGACACUUAUGUGUUGUUGGGUAGGGGAGCGUUCUGUAAGCCGUUGAAGGUGUGCUGUGAGGCAUGCUGGAGGUAUCAGAAGUGCGAAUGCUGACAUAAGUAACGAUAAAGCGGGUGAAAAGCCCGCUCGCCGGAAGACCAAGGGUUCCUGUCCAACGUUAAUCGGGGCAGGGUGAGUCGACCCCUAAGGCGAGGCCGAAAGGCGUAGUCGAUGGGAAACAGGUUAAUAUUCCUGUACUUGGUGUUACUGCGAAGGGGGGACGGAGAAGGCUAUGUCAGCCGGGCGACGGUUGUCCCGGUUUAAGCAUGUAGGCGGAGGUUCCAGGUAAAUCCGGUACCUUGUUAACGCUGAGGUGUGAUGACGAGGCACUACGGUGCUGAAGUGAUAAAUGCCCUGCUUCCAGGAAAAGCCUCUAAGCAUCAGGUAACACGAAAUCGUACCCCAAACCGACACAGGUGGUCAGGUAGAGAAUACCAAGGCGCUUGAGAGAACUCGGGUGAAGGAACUAGGCAAAAUGGUGCCGUAACUUCGGGAGAAGGCACGCUGAUGUGUAGGUGAAGCCCCUGCGGGCGGAGCUGAAAUCAGUCGAAGAUACCAGCUGGCUGCAACUGUUUAUUAAAAACACAGCACUGUGCAAACACGAAAGUGGACGUAUACGGUGUGACGCCUGCCCGGUGCCGGAAGGUUAAUUGAUGGGGUUAGCGGCAACGCGAAGCUCUUGAUCGAAGCCCCGGUAAACGGCGGCCGUAACUAUAACGGUCCUAAGGUAGCGAAAUUCCUUGUCGGGUAAGUUCCGACCUGCACGAAUGGCGUAAUGAUGGCCAGGCUGUCUCCACCCGAGACUCAGUGAAAUUGAACUCGCUGUGAAGAUGCAGUGUACCCGCGGCAAGACGGAAAGACCCCGUGAACCUUUACUAUAGCUUGACACUGAACACUGGUCCUUGAUGUGUAGGAUAGGUGGGAGGCUUUGAAGCGUGGACGCCAGUCUGCGUGGAGCCAUCCUUGAAAUACCACCCUUUAAUGGCUGGUGUUCUAACGUAGACCCGUGAUCCGGGUUGCGGACAGUGUCUGGUGGGUAGUUUGACUGGGGCGGUCUCCUCCCAAAGAGUAACGGAGGAGCACGAAGGUUGGCUAAUCCUGGUCGGACAUCAGGAGGUUAGUGCAAUGGCAUAAGCCAGCUUGACUGCGAGCGUGACGGCGCGAGCAGGUGCGAAAGCAGGUCAUAGUGAUCCGGUGGUUCUGAAUGGAAGGGCCAUCGCUCAACGGAUAAAAGGUACUCCGGGGAUAACAGGCUGAUACCGCCCAAGAGUUCAUAUCGACGGCGGUGUUUGGCACCUCGAUGUCGGCUCAUCACAUCCUGGGGCUGAAGUAGGUCCCAAGGGUAUGGCUGUUCGCCAUUUAAAGUGGUACGCGAGCUGGGUUUAGAACGUCGUGAGACAGUUCGGUCCCUAUCUGCCGUGGGCGCUGGAGAAUUGAGGGGGGCUGCUCCUAGUACGAGAGGACCGGAGUGGACGCAUCACUGGUGUUCGGGUUGUCAUGCCAAUGGCACUGCCCGGUAGCUAAAUGCGGAAGAGAUAAGUGCUGAAAGCAUCUAAGCACGAAACUUGCCCCGAGAUGAGUUCUCCCUGAGACCUUGAGUCUCCUGAAGGAACGUUGAAGACGACGACGUUGAUAGGUCGGGUGUGUAAGCGCAGCGAUGCGUUGAGCUAACCGAUACUAAUGAACCGUGAGGCUUAACCUU
rnacentral:rRNA from 2 species